AUACGGAGGAUCCGAGCGUUAUCCGGAUUUAUUGGGUUUAAAGGGAGCGUAGGUGGAUUGUUAAGUCAGUUGUGAAAGUUUGCGGCUCAACCGUAAAAUUGCAGUUGAAACUGGCAGUCUUGAGUACAGUAGAGGUGGGCGGAAUUCGUGGUGUAGCGGUGAAAUGCUUAGAUAUCACGAAGAACUCCGAUUGCGAAGGCAGCUCACUAGACUGUUACUGACACUGAUGCUCGAAAGUGUGGGUAUCAAACAGGAUUAGAUACCCUGGUAGUCCACACAGUAAACGAUUAAUACUCGCUGUUCGCGAUAUACAGUAAGCGGCCAAGCGAAAGCAUUAAGUAUUCCACCUGGGGAGUACGCCGUCAACGGUGAAACUCAAAUGAAUUGACGGGG
rnacentral:rRNA from 1 species